rnacentral:misc_RNA from 1 species
UAAAUAAAAUGACUACCUCACAAUUUGAAACUAAAAACAACUCAAAGCCUAAAUCCCCCGUUGUUCCUUCUCUCAGACUUCCUUCCCUUUGAUCGCACAUAUGAUUUGGUAUGGCUGUGUGCCAUGCCAGGAGCUAGUACAAGCGUUCUUUGGAUAUCUUAGGAGAACCCGAAUUCUCGCAAUNUUUGGUCCUGGCCAAUCUCUAGCAAUUGAGCCAAUUCCCUUUUCAGCUGCUUCACCUGUGCUUAUCUCUUAUUCUUUAAUAAAUUUAUGCGUAAAGCCAUAAGCUUAAAAGACAUUUUC